UCGAACCACCUAACGAGGAACGAUCGGAGGGCAAGUCUGGUGCCAGCAGCCGCGGUAAUUCCAGCUCCAAUAGCGUACGUUAAAAGUUGCUGCAGUUAAAAAGCUCGUAGUUGAACGUUCGGGGUUCCGCGGGACGGGGCCGCCCCGCGAGGGACGGCGCCGCCCCGGGGCUCGUGAUAUCUUAUCUCGCCGCCCGUCGCGAGGCGGACGGAGGGAUGGAUGAGGUUACCUGGAAAAAAAUCGGGGCGAUCUAGCGGGGGGGCAACCUCGCCAACGAACGAUCGGACAUGGGAUAACGGAAGAGGGCGUCGGCUCGACUUCGUCGGUUCCUCGGGCCGAGGCACGUACGGUGAAUAGGGACGGUCGGGGCCGCCCGUACCGGGUCGUGAGAGGUGAAAUUCUAGGAUCGACCCGAGACGAACUGCCGCGAAAGCAUUCGGCAAGGACGCUUUCAUUAAUCAAGAACGAAAGUCGGGGGAUCGAAGACGAUCAGAUACCGUCGUAGUCCCGACCGUAACGAUGCCGACCGA
rnacentral:rRNA from 1 species